ensembl:misc_RNA 7SK 7SK RNA
GGAUGUGAGCAAUCUGGCUGCGACAUCUGUCACCCCGUUAAUCACCAGGGUUGAUUCCGCUGAUCCAGCUGGCUAGGCAGGUGUCCCUUUCCUCCCUCACUGCUCCAUAGGGGACCCUCCUGAAGCUGUGUGCUCGGUGCAAGAGGAUGACCUUCCCCCAUAGAGGAGGACCUUUCUUCGGUCAAGGGCAUACAAGCAGCUGCACUCCCCUGUAGAUCCUGCAAACCAGAACUCAAGGUCCCUCUGUAGGACAACGCAGGGCAUUCAAACUUCCAAGACUCCAGACACAUCCAAAGGAGGCAGCUCAUGUGGCAGGCUGCCUUU